GAAGGUUGAACCGGUCGAAGAUACCAGCUGGCUGCAACUGUUUAUUAAAAACACAGCACUCUGCAAACACGAAAGUGGACGUAUAGGGUGUGAUGCCUGCCCGGUGCUGGAAGGUUAAUUGAUGGUGUAAUCGAAAGAGAAGCUCCUGAUCGAAGCCCCAGUAAACGGCGGCCGUAACUAUAACGGUCCUAAGGUAGCGAAAUUCCUUGUCGGGUAAGUUCCGACCUGCACGAAUGGCAUAAUGAUGGCCAGGCUGUCUCCACCCGAGACUCAGUGAAAUUGAAAUCGCCGUGAAGAUGCGGUGUACCCGCGGCUAGACGGAAAGACCCCGUGAACCUUUACUAUAGCUUGACACUGAACAUUGAAUUUUGAUGUGUAGGAUAGGUGGGAGACUUUGAAGAUGAUACGCCAGUAUUGUUGGAGUCGUCCUUGAAAUACCACCCUUUAACGUUUGAUGUUCUAACGAAGAUUACGAAACGUGGUCUCGGACAGUGUCUGGUGGGUAGUUUGACUGGGGCGGUCUCCUCCCAAAGAGUAACGGAGGAGCACGAAGGUUUGCUAAUGACGGUCGGACAUCGUCAGGUUAGUGCAAUGGUAUAAGCAAGCUUAACUGCGAGACAGACAAGUCGAGCAGGUACGAAAGUAGGUCAUAGUGAUCCGGUGGUUCUGAAUGGAAGGGCCAUCGCUCAACGGAUAAAAGGUACUCCGGGGAUAACAGGCUGAUACCGCCCAAGAGUUCAUAUCGACGGCGGUGUUUGGCACCUCGAUGUCGGCUCAUCACAUCCUGGGGCUGAAGUAGGUCCCAAGGGUAUGGCUGUUCGCCAUUUAAAGUGGUACGCGAGCUGGGUUUAGAACGUCGUGAGACAGUUCGGUCCCUAUCUGCCGUGGGCGUUGGAGAAUUGAAAGGGGCUGCUCCUAGUACGAGAGGACCGGAGUGGACGCACCACUGGUGUUCCGGUUGUGUCGCCAGACGCAUUGCCGGGUAGCUAAGUGCGGAAGAGAUAAGUGCUGAAAGCAUCUAAGCACGAAACUUGCCUUGAGAUGAGUUCUCCCUGUCUUUAAGACAGUAAGGGUUGUUUAAGACUAAGACGUAGAUAGGUCUGGUGUGUAAGCGGUGUGAGCCGUUGAGCUAACAGAUACUAAUUGCCCGAGAGGCUUAACUAUACAACGCUCAAGGGUUUUG
rnacentral:rRNA from 1 species